GAUGAACGCUGGCGGCGUGCUGAACACAUGCAAGUCUAGCGAGCAGUUUGGAAAAGAUGCUUUGGAUGAAAUGUAAAAUGGAAAGCGGCGGACGGACGAGUAACCCGUAGGCAACAUGCCCCAUACAAAAGGAUAGCACGGGGAAACGAAAAUUAAUACCUAAUGACACUUAAAUAGUGCAUUCUAGGCAGGUCAAAGAUCGAACGGUAGGGGAUGGGCCUGCGUCUGAUUAGCUAGAUGGUGAGGUAAGGGCUCACCAACGCGACUACCAGUAGCCGACCUGGGAGGCUGAACCGCCAACUUCGGACUGAGUCACGGUCCAAGAUCCUACGCGAGGGCGCAGUGAGGAAUAUUGCACCAUGGCGAAAAACCUGAUGCAGCACCGCCGCGUGAACGAUGCAGGCCCUUGGGUCGUCAAGUUCUGUUCUAGGUGAUGAAAACUGCCAGUAACCUAGGAGAAAGCCCGGGCUACCUUCUUG
rnacentral:rRNA from 1 species